CGUUGAGUAGUUUCUUGUUAGUUGUGCGAUAUGUGUUAGGUUUCUCCGUAAUUUUCAUCAGUAUAUGGUUGUCAUUUUGCAAGAAAUAUAGAAGUUAUGCCAGGGGCUAAUUGCUCAGUAUUUGGCUGUGGUUCGUGCAGAAGAACGAAGGGAAUUGGUAUUUGGAAGUUGCCUGUGGCAAAAGACGAAGCUCGUGGAACAUGGUGAGACGAAUGGCUUGUUGAGAUAAAAAAGACAAGAGAAAUUGACCAGAACUUCAGGGAACAGUUGAAGAGCGAUAGAAUAUAUACCUGUGAGAAACAUUUUGCGCCCGAAGAUAUCGAAAUAUAUCAAUCUGCGAAAAUGACCAAAAAUAAGCCCAAAUUUGGAGCUUUGCCGAAGCUGAACAUGCCUAAGAAAAGUCAUGAAAGCAGCAAGCCUUCACCACGUCCUGAACGUUCGGUUGUAAAAUUUAACGAGGGGCCUUUACCACACAGCUGCUACAAGGGAUUUUCAGAGCUCUGCCAACGAGUUAAAAGCCUAAAAAGCCUUGGUGAUUGGAGCCUGAAGAUCUUUGAGGACAAAAUUGUGCUGAAGAAAACCGUGCAUCCGUACGUUCUGCCACGUUUGGAAAUUAUUAUGGAUGACAGUCUUGGCUUUACUGUGAAAGUAUUUGGUUCCUAUUUACCUGAAGAUCAUCCUUUGUACCUGGACUAUCGUAGAACAGUUCGAAAUAUUACUGUAUCUAACUUAAUAAGGCAACUGAAAUUCGUGAUGACUAACAAUUUUUUUUUUACUUGUAAUCCAACAUUAACAAAUUAAAUGUUGAAUGCAAUAUUCAGAGAAGUCACCACCGGUUGCUGGGCAAUGAAAAAUUUUAACAAAUAAUGUAUAAGGCAGGGAAUUGAACAACUAGUAAGAUAUUUCAGUUCUAUGCUAGUUAUAGUAGUUGGGCACAGGGAGAAGGAAGGGGGAAUCCCCAGCCCACAGCCCUCAGUGACUGCCCCGAAUAUUAUUAAUUUUUAAGUUUACAGUAUUUUUGUAUCACUCUUUUUUGCUACAAGGUUCCCAGGAAAAAGGUCUCUCAAAUUCAUGAUGACUAACAAAAACAUUUCUUUUUUACUUUUAAUCCAACAUGAACAACCAGGUGUCUUGUCUUUAUUAUAGUACAUAAAAUAAUUGUCCUUCAGAAGGCAUUUCCCAGGAUAAUUUCUCUAUUGCACUAAUUCUGGGUUAUCUUAACUCAGCUUUUAACAACCUGGCCCAGGACUCUAAACAUGUCAUGCACAGGACUUUUCGUGGCAUGGUAAAUUCGGCUUUACAUUGUAUGUGAACAGUUCUUAAUUCAAAUGUUCUUGAUAAUUGAUACAUGUAAGUAUCAAUAAAAUAAUUAACAAAUUUUUUACAAUGCCAUGUUUUACUUAGGAUAAUAAAAUGUUUUAUUUUAA